UGCUACCAUGACGUUAGCAUAACCUCGCCCGCUGAAUUAAAUGUUAAUUGUUUUUUUGCCUUGUGUUUAAUCCUGCCUCUGGAAGUGUGUCUCCCUCCAGUUUUGAUUGCCCUCACUGUUUUCACCUGUGUUGUUAAUCUCACCUUUGUCUAAUUACCCCCGUGUCUUUAGUCUCAGUGUUCCUUCACUCUUGUCAGUUCAAUGUUACAUUUUUGUUGGAUGACAGUGUUGGUGUCUGUCCGUUAUCUACCUUCCUGUGCUCCAGUGUUUGACUCCUAGUUUCCUUUGUGGAUUUUUGUUGGACAUUUUGGAUUUGAAGAAGAUUGUAGACCUUGAAUGCAGACAUCUUCUUGGAGAGGAUGGACUUGGGCAAAACGCAGGCUGCAGAUGUCGGACCUCCAGCAGCACCAGGGCGAGGUACUGAAUGAAAAGCAGCGCGUCCACAAGCGA